rnacentral:rRNA from 1 species
AUUGAACGCUGGCGGCAGGCCUAACACAUGCAAGUCGAACGAGUGGCGGACGGGUGAGUAAUGUCUGGGGAACUGCCCGAUGGAGGGGGAUAACUACUGGAAACGGUAGCGAAAACCGCAUACCAUCGGAUGUGCGCAGAUGGGAUUAGCUUGUAGGUGAGGUAACGGGUCACCUAGGCGACGAUCCCUAGCUGGUCUGAGAGGAGGACCAGCCAACCUGGAACUGAGACACGGUCCAGACUCCUACGGGAGGCAGCAGUGGGUAAUAUUGCACAAUGGGCGCAAGCCUGAUGCAGCCAUGCCGCGUGUAUGAAGAAGGCCUUCGGGUUGUAAAGUACUUUCAGCGGGGAGGCGUUACCCGCAGAAGAAGCACCGGCUAACUCCGUGCCAGCAGCCGCGGUAAUUC